GGAGGGUGCGAGCGUUGUCCGGAAUCACUGGGCGUAAAGGGCGCGUAGGCGGCCUGCUAAGUUGCGGGUGAAAUCCCGGGGCUUAACUCCGGGGCUGCCAGUAAGACUGGCAGGCUAGAGCACGGUAGAGGCAGAUGGAAUUCCCGGUGUAGCGGUGGAAUGCGUAGAGAUCGGGAAGAACACCAGUGGCGAAGGCGAUCUGCUGGGCCGUUGCUGACGCUGAGGCGCGACAGCGUGGGGAGCAAACAGGAUUAGAUACCCUGGUAGUCCACGCCGUAAACGAUGGACACUAGGCGUCGGGGGGAGCGACCCUCCCGGUGCCGUCGCUAACGCAAUAAGUGUCCCGCCUGGGGAGUACGGCCGCAAGGCUG
rnacentral:rRNA from 1 species